UUGUGCUAAGUUCACAUCUUCCACCAAAUCAUCAAUCCCUCUCACACUUUCUCCUCAGCCUUCACCACCAUGCAACUUUUCUCAUCAUCACCUCCUUUCUGUGCAGCUCUGCACUCAGACUUUGGUCUCGUCCUGAUACCAAUCCUCGUGCUCUUGGGCUUGUUCGUCCUCCAAUGGCGGCACCCGAGAUUCGACAGGCGCCUUCCCCCUGGCUCAAUGGGUUGGCCUUAUUUCGGAGAGACUUUCGAGCUCUACACUGAAAACCCAAAUUCCUUCUUCACGGUCCGGCAAAAACGGUAUGGGAGUAUAUUCAAGACCCAUGUUUUGGGGUGUCCAUGUGUGAUGAUAACAAGUCCAGAAGCAGCAAAAAUGGUACUGGUGAGUCGGGCUCAUCUGUUUAAGCCGACUUACCCCAGAGGCAAAGAGAGGAUGAUAGGACCGGAGGCUAUAUUCUUUCACCAAGGAGCCUAUCACUCAAAGCUAAAGAAGCUGGUUCAGGCUUCACUUCUGCCCUCUGCAAUAAAAGGUUCAGUCUCAGAGAUUGAGCAAAUUGUUCUAAGCCUACUGCCCACAUGGAAGAACAACACCAUUAACACUUUGCAAGAGAUGAAGAGGUAUGCUUUUGAUGUGGCAAUGAUUUCAGUUUUGGGCAACAAAAGGGACAUUGAAGUGGAAGGGAUUAAACAUCUGUAUCAUUCCAUUGAGAAGGGCUAUAAUUCCAUGGCUCUUGAUCUACCUGGAACUCCCUUUCACAAAGCCAUGAAGGCAAGGAAGCUUCUGAAUAAGGCAUUGAGAGGACUGAUACAAAAGAGAAGGGAGAGUGGUGAUGCACAAAGUGGUGGAUUACUGCAAGAACUGUUGAGAGCAAAAGAUCAGAAACUUAAUCUGAACCUCAGUGAUUCUCAAAUUGCUGAUAAUAUCAUCGGGGUUAUCUUUGCUGCUCAUGAUACCACUGCUAGCGUUCUAACAUGGCUCCUGAAGUAUCUUCAUGACAAUGACGAUCUCCUAGAAUCUGUUACGAGGGAACAAGAAGGAAUUCAACGCAAAAUGUUGAAUGAGAAACGCGGGUUUACGUGGGAUGAUACUAGACGCAUGCCUUUGACUAAUCGGGUAAUUCAAGAGACUCUAAGAACAGCAAGUAUACUGUCAUUCACAUUCAGAGAGGCAGUGGAAGACGUAGAGUUUGAGGGUUACUUUAUCCCUAGAGGUUGGAAGGUGCUGCCUCUUUUCAGAAGCAUUCAUCACUGUGCAGAUUUCUUCCCUCAGCCUGAAAAGUUUGACCCUUCAAGAUUUGAGGUUCCACCUCGACCCAACACUUACAUGCCCUUUGGGAAUGGCGUGCAUUCCUGUCCAGGCAAUGAGCUGGCCAGGCUCGAGAUGCUGAUCCUCCUUCACCACCUCACAACUACUUACAGGUGGCACCUGAUGGGCGAUGACGAUGGGAUUCAGUAUGGCCCUUUCCCAGUUCCCAAACAGGGAUUACCCAUCAAAGUGACUCUGAAGAACAAGAAUAGGACCUGAUCUCAGGUUCUUGACGACCAUCCAAAAAACUUUUCCAAUGGGGACAAAAAGCAAGCUAGCAGACCCCAUUGAACCUCUAGCUUUUCCUCCUCUUCCAUCUGUGUAUUUUUUUUUUUUUUCUUAGCGAGUUUGUCGUUGGCAAUCGAUCCUAUGUCAAGUUCCUUAGUAGGGUAACCGUCUGUCAGUCAGUGUCAGUUUAAUGUAAAGUGCAGAAGAAUAAUCAAUGAAAUGCAAAUUUCAUUUCAUUAAGAGCAAAAACUGUGAAUGUGUGAAUGGCAGAGUUUUGUUCUCUUGGGUUUUUGAAGAUCAAGUCUGUGUGGCUUUGAUUGUGGAUGAAGUAUGGCUUUGAUUGUGGAUGAAGUAACUUUCAGCUAUCUGAGAUUUUUCUUCAACUUGGGGGUAGAAAUUGAAGAGUUGAGAGACAACCUAGGCCAACUGGGAGUUCUGUCUACAUAUGUAAACCUUAAUCAACACAAAUGACAAAUGAUGGAGUCACAAGGUAUCUGUGUGCAUGAACUUCAUGGAUAGAUAUUUUGGGUGUGCACACUAGAAUUCCACGUAGGGGAUUGUCUCAGCACAACAUUGUAGCCUACGUGGGUUACUAGACAUGUCCAGUUGAUCAGAAUGUUCCGGCCCAAAUGUUAUCUAUUUGAGGAAACUAGAGGUUGAGAGCAAGAAAAUGAUAGGCGGUGAUGUUCAAGCUAAUCGCGCUAGUCUUCUAGUGAUUCUGUCUAGGCUUGCGUGAAGGUUUUCCUCUGAUAAUGUUAAUCGAAUCCUAUACCAAGAAAGUUCCAAGUUGAAACACCAACAAUGUAUGACAGUUUUGGAUGGCAGAGAUGUGGAUAUGGAACAUUGGAAGAAGAUUCUUCUAUGACACUAACGGGUAUAAAGAAUGAGCGGGUUCACAUCAUUAUACAUAAUAAAAUGGUAUGAAUCCAUCACUAUUUUCUUCAUUCUCCCGUUUUUUUUUUUGGCUAGAUUCUUCAUGCUCUUGUUAAGUUAUAAUGAUAGUUACAACUAAUACUAGCAUGGCGGCGUGGAGGAUGAGGUUGGAACUCCGGGACCACAGAAUAAUUCCUCGUCCGAGAGAUGGUGGUUGUGCUGUGACAAAUGAAGUUACGACCUAUGGGAACCAGAAAUAAUUGUAAAGAACUUUAUAAGCACAAGGCUUCAUUCUGUAAUUCACAAUUGUUGGCAAAUUUCAUUCAGGUUUUGUUCUAGAUGCCAGCCGUAGUCUAGAUGGGAGACCUUGAAGUGAUACAGGUGGUGUCUGUAGCAGUGAUAACAAACGCUGUUGGUGAUGGCGCCAUGGCGAUAGUGACAAUGACAACAGUGGUAGAGUCUUCUUUACUUCAUUUUCGAAAACAUUACUAAUGUUCUUUUACUAUAAUCCAAAACUAUCCGAAA